CGCAAAAUUGCAAACACCGCUCUUUCUUCGCCUCGCAACAAUCGUCGUCGUUCUCUCUUACGGGGUUUCGAAAUUCAACGACUGCUCGUUAUUGCGCGAUUCAUGCCCGUGACGAUAGAUAAGCUCCAGCUUGAUUCUCUGAAAGUUACGAUUUUUCUUUAUCUUUAAUCUUCUUUUCUCACGGUAUAAAGUUUUGCCUGCGUUUUUGUUUAAUUUUGUGAUGUGAAGUCGCCGCCUUUAUGUUUCUUUUGCAUAUUUUAAUCUUGAUCCGAGCCUUGAAGGUUCUUCGUUCAGGUCACCGCCUUUUACGUAUUCGAAGAUGUCAGGUUUACCGGCGCGGCGGAGAAGCAGCGCUUUCGACGAUUGGUGUCGAAGAAAAUAGCCGGAUUGUAUUAAUUGGUUGGUUGAAAGUUUGGAUGUAUAAGGAGAUAUGUUGGGCUUGAAUCCCGAUUGAUCUUUUGUCAUCUCAGACCUUUGCCAUGUCGGGUGCGCUCGCAUGGCAGGUCGCAAACUUAAUAAAAAGAAACGAUUUUUUGGGUUCCCGAGGGGGAGAUCGCACGGGAUCUUUUUCGCCCGGGGUCUUCCCUCUCGGUGUUGUGUUGUGCUUGUGUUUCUUUGCUCUCUCGCUGCGGCUCAACUCCCAAACGAUAUAAUCAUCUGCGAAAUCAAAAGGUAGUGGAUUAUAUCUGUUUUGGUGGAAAAAGGCACAGAUUUUUCCAUCAAUUCAAUGACUUGAAGAAUUGUGGUGUCAGCAAAGAUGGAAAGGAUUAUUGGAGCAAAUUGUAGCCAAGCCUAACAGAGGUUGAGUUAUAUGUCAUCUCCAAUGGUUUAUGUAUUUCUGAAUCUUUCCGUCAUGAGAUUUUUAUGCAAAAUUUUUGGAUGCUGUUUUCUUUUUCUGGGGUUUUGGCAAAUAUUGUUCCUCUCUAGAGUAAAUGCAAGGUUCUCUCUGAUGUUUCUGUCAAAGUUCCAAGCAAUCCACCAUCCCUUGUCACUUUUCCACCUGAAAUACAAGCAAGAAUUGAGAAGAAGUUGUAAUCGCUUAUGGACGGACAAUCAAUAGCAGCAGUAUUGUUCCAAUUACUUUUGUAAUUUGGUCAUGUAUAGUUUGUUAUUACUCAAACCAACAACCACUCAUGGAUCAGUGAAGAUGUAUUAAAGAAGACUGGUUCAAGGUUGGAUCCAUACAGAAAAGGAUAUUUAUCAGAUUUUUCUUGCUGGGGAAUGGCAAAGGACUGACCUUUAGUGCAAGUCAAGGUAUGCUGUUAUAAAUGUGUUUUGACUCUUCCACUGAGAGUAUGGAUCAGAUCAUACAAUAAUUGUUUUUUUGGGAGUAUGGUUCUAUCAUACAAUAAUCUGUCUCUGGCCCAUAAGAGUUUUUUUGGUCAAUAUCUCAUCAAUUAAGGAACCUUCCUCAUAUCAAGAGGCUAUUAGACAUUCUUGCUGGAAAGAAGCUAUGGAUAAUGAAAUUUUAACAUUGGAAGCUAAUCAGACUUGGGAAUUCAUAGACAUGCCCUCAUCUAAGAAACUAGUGGGUUGCAAAUAGGUGUACACAGUGAAACGUAAUCCAGAUGGCAGCAUCGGACGUUACAAGGCUAGGCUUGUGGCUAAGGGCUAUACCCAAUUACUUGGGUUGGACUACAUUAGGACUUUUGGUCCAAUAGCUAAGAUGGCAACUAUAAGAACUCUUCUUGCAGUGGCUGUUGUCUAAGGUUGGUUCUUGCGCCAGUUGGACAUCAAUAACGCCUUCUUGCAUGGAGAUCUAGAUGAAGAAGUAUACAUGAUUUCACUUCCAGGUAGCGGCCUUCCUAAACUUGGGCAAGUAUGUAGGCUCAGGAAAUCCUUAUAUGGGCUUAAGCAGGCCAACAGACAGGGGAACAUCAAACUCACAAUAGAGCUUCUUGCACGAGGUUUUGUCUAAGAAGGUUAAAAAUUACUCUUUGUUCACUAAGGGCACAAAUGAUUCCUUCAUUGGCUUAUUAGUGUAUGUGUAUGAUAUAUGCUCUUGAAGUAUUAAAGGAAACUGGGUUUUUGGAAAGCAACCCCGUCCACAGCCCAAUGGUUCCGUAUGUCAAGCUGCACAAGAAUGAUAGUCCCAUUAUUCAUGACCCAUCGGUGUAUAGAAGCAUCGUUGGAAAAUUGAUCUACCUCACUGUUACCAGACCAGAUAUUUCAUUUGCCACACAGCAAGUCAGCAACUCUCCCAGUUUAUGGAUCAACUGACAUAAUUGCACCUAAAAGCAUAUAGAAUUAGAUUGCCAUUUGGUUAGAGAAAAGUUUCAGAAAGGUCUCCUCAAGCUCCUUCAUGUCUCUACAGGACAACAGUUAGCUGAUGUUUUCACUAAACCUCACCCCUGGUUCCUUUCUUAACUUCACUUCCAAGUUGGGCAUCUCCAACUUGUAGGGGCAUAUUGAACAAGGGAACACAGGUGGAGAAGGUGCACAACAGAGUAAUGGAAAGUAGCCUAGUCUAUCAGUUGAACAGCUAUACUAGUUUGUUAGAAUAUAGCCACCUGUUUAACAUAUUAGUUAGACUUUUGUAUAUACAUGCUUUCUAACUCUUUCUUUUUCAAAUGAAUAACAGAGAGAGAUAUUUUUUCUCCUUCCUUCCUUCUCUCCGCAAUUUGGAUUCAUCUCCUCUACGUCUUCACGUCUGUGCACAGCUGUGGCAGGGAUUUUGAAAGCAAAUCCUAUGAUGUUUGAUGAGAAAUGUUGCAGAGAGGGCAGUUAAUUACUUCCUGUUUCUCAAGCGAAAAAUGUAAUAAGCUAGCAAACCAUGAAAUGGCAUACAGGCCGGCAGUGCUCAUUGUAAUACAGCAAAACAUAGUUGUUCUUUAGCUUUGUUUGCUGCUCAAUAUAAUAAUUUUAAGGAUGGAGUCAUGAGAUGAGUUGUGCUUUGCCCAUUAUCUUAUAUUAUGUUACAAGUGUAUGUUACAUUAGACUAUAUUUGUUAUACUUCUGUAUAAGACUAUUGGUAUCUGUACUACCAACAUACAAUAGAAUUUGAGGUAA